AACGCUGGCGGCAUGCCUUACACAUGCAAGUCGAACGGCAGCACGGGAGCAAUCCUGGUGGCGAGGUGGCGAACGGGUGAGUAAUAUAUCGGAACGUGCCCAGUCGUGGGGAUAACGUAGCGAAAGUUACGCUAAUACCGCAUACGAUCUAAGGAUGAAAGCGGGGGAUCGCAAGACCUCGCGCGAUUGGAGCGGCCGAUAUCAGAUUAGGUAGUUGGUGAGGUAAAGGCUCACCAAGCCAACGAUCUGUAGCUGGUCUGAGAGGACGACCAGCCACACUGGAACUGAGACACGGCCCAGACUCCUACGGGAGGCAGCAGUGGGGAAUUUUGGACAAUGGGCGCAAGCCUGAUCCAGCAAUGCCGCGUGCAGGAUGAAGGCCUUCGGGUUGUAAACUGCUUUUGUACGGAACGAAACGGUGAGCUCUAAUACAGUUUGCUAAUGACGGUACCGUAAGAAUAAGCACCGGCUAACUACGUG
rnacentral:rRNA from 1 species